AACGAACGCUGGCGGCAUGCCUAACACAUGCAAGUCGAACGAGACCUUCGGGUCUAGUGGCGCACGGGUGCGUAACGCGUGGGAAUCUGCCCUUAGGUUCGGAAUAACUUCGGGAAACUGAAGCUAAUACCGGAUGAUGACGUAAGUCCAAAGAUUUAUCGCCUAAGGACGAGCCCGCGUAGGAUUAGCUAGUUGGUGAGGUAAAAGCUCACCAAGGCGACGAUCCUUAGCUGGUCUGAGAGGAUGAUCAGCCACACUGGGACUGAGACACGGCCCAGACUCCUACGGGAGGCAGCAGUGGGAAUAUUGGACAAUGGGCGAAAGCCUGAUCCAGCAAUGCCGCGUGAGUGAUGAA
rnacentral:rRNA from 1 species